GACGAACGCUGGCGGCGUGCUUAACACAUGCAAGUCGAACGGAGUGGCGAACGGGUGAGUAACACGAGGGUGAUCUGCCUUGCACUCUGGGAUAAUCUUGGGAAACUGGGUCUAAUACCGGAUAGUGCAAGUUGAGCUCGUGGCCUAGCAGCUUGUUGGUGGGGUAAUGGCCUACCAAGGUGGCGACGGGUACCCGGCCUGAGAGGGUGUACGGCUACAGUGGGACGUAGAUACGGCCCAGCCUCCUACUGGAGGCAGCAGGGGGAAAUAUUGCACAAUGCGCGGAAGACUGAUGCAGCGACGCCGAGGGGGGGAUGACGGCCUUCGGGUUGUAAACUCCUUUCGACAGGGACGCGGUACCUGGAUAAGGAGCACCGGCUAACUACGUGCCAGCAGCCGCGGUAAUAC
rnacentral:rRNA from 1 species